GGAGAGUGGAAUUCCACGUGUAGCGGUGAAAUGCGUAGAGAUGUGGAGGAACACCAGUGGCGAAGGCGACUCCCUGGUCUAUAACUGACGCUGAGGAGCGAAAGCGUGGGGAGCGAACAGGAUUAGAUACCCUGGUAGUCCACGCCGUAAACGAUGAGUGCUAAGUGUUAGGGGGUUUGCGGCCCUUAUUGCGGCAGUUACCGCAUUAAUCACUCCCCCGGGGGAUUACGGUCCCAAGAUAGAAAUUCAAAGGAAUUGACGGGGGCCCCCCCAAGCGGUGGACCAUGUGGUUUAAUUGGAAGCAACGGGAAGACCCUUCCCAGUUCUUGACAUCCUAGGACAACCCUAGAGAUAGGGGUUUCCCUUCGGGGACAGAGUGCCAGGUGGUGCAUGGUUGUGGUCAGUUCGUGUCGUGAGAUGUUGGGUUAAGUCCCGCAACGAGCCCAACCCUUGAUUUUAGUUCCCAGCAUUUAGUUGGGCACUCUAAGGUGACUGCCGGUGACAAACCGGAGGAAGGUGGGGAUGACGUCAAAUCAUCAUGCCCCUUAUGACUUGGGCUACACACGUGCUACAAUGGACAG
rnacentral:rRNA from 1 species